AUUAUAGGCAUAUUCUACAGCUCUAUCUUCACAUUCCAUCAGAUAAUUAAGGAAACAUCAAAGGCCUCCCAUUUAUAUUGAAUGCUGAAGAGUAACCGGAUGGAUAAGCUAAUGCGAAACUAUCUGCUGGAUACAGUAAUGGCCAAUAUUUACUGGAUAUUUACCAUGUCGGGAAUUGGGAAUAAUGCUCAAUCUUUUA